CCAUAACCAGUACUGUCCUGAAUGUCUGCUUAGGACCCUCCCAGAUGCCAAGGUUCUAAGUCAAAAGUCACGAGUGGGUUUGGAAAUCCAAGGCAGCCAGCCUUGUAAAGUGACAGGGAGGUGGGGCGGAGGCCAGAGUAAAGGCACCAUCACCCCAAGUCCUGCCAUGCCACGAGAGAGGCUGACAGCCCUGGAGGGGUGAGUAAAACCUGAAAUUUGAGGAAGGGACUAAUUAGGACACUCCAAUCCUAAGCCAUCUCAUGGCCUCGGGCAGGGAUGUGAGAUGUAUAAAAGGUGGGAAGGCUCAGGGCAGCCCAAACCCUUUGGCAUCUCCACACUCCAGCCUCUUGGCAAAGAGAACUUGGUUGUGCAUCAACCCAGAAUGUCUCAGCAGAAGCAGAAGCAGUGUGCUCCCCCCCAGCAAUGCUGCCCUCCACCCCAGCAGUGUGCUCCUCCACCCCAGCAGUGUGCUCCCCCACCCCAGCAGUGUGCUCCCCCACCCCAGCAGUGUGCUCCCCCACCCCAGCAGUGCUGUCCUCCACCUCAGCAAACCAAGCAGCCUUGUCAGCCUCCACCCAAGUGCAAGGAGUCUUAUGCGCCCAAGUGCCAACAGAAAUGCCCACCCCCUCAGCAGUGCCAGAAGUCCAAGCAGAAGUAAGACCCCAGCAUGUAACCAGAGGCGGAACCUCCAGGGAAAACAGCAGCAUGAAGUUCGCUGCCCCUUUCUCAGACAGCCAGCUGCCAGCCCCACUCACCCCCAGCUUCUGGCCUCAAGCACCAGGAGGGUGGCUUCUUCAAUCUCCACCUCUUAUUAAUUAUCAGCUGCAAUUUCCACCUCAGACAAGGAUCUGGUUCUUAACCGUGUAACCGUCCCUACUGACUUGUAUUUAUAUCACCGUCUGCUUCUCGGAUCACCGUCUGCUUCUCGGAAGCUUGGGCAGCAGGCCAGGCACCUUUCUUACCACCUCCCUCUUUCACUCCUGUUUUCCAAACAAUUAAACAUAGUUCCUCUGGCACAAAUGUUUCAGUCUGAUUCUUUUGUUGUUGAACAGUGUUACAUCCUGCAGGUUUUGUAUCCUGCCCUUGCUGCAGAGCC
rnacentral:lncRNA from 1 species